UUGGGCUCGGAAAUGGUUGCUGUGUAGCUGGGCCGGCUGGGGCCCAGCCUUGUACCUGCUAGCCUGACCUUGCCCUAGAUUAAAAAAAAAACCUGGCACACUCCUUUCUGGGGUCUGCCUUGUGCAGUAACAGGUGUGAGCAUUCUACCAGUAGCUUGAUGAUCAUGUAUAAUACUGCAUACAUCU